ensembl:lncRNA
ACAUUACUAUUGAUUGACUGACUGAUUUUAAAUAUUAAAAUAAUAAUAAUUAAAUGAUAUUUUUUUCCUCUUUUAAAGUAAAAUUUCAAUUUCAAAAUGUAAAUGUGUAUAUAUGCAAAUUUAAAAUCUGCAAAUGUGUGUGCAUAGUUUAUUUGCACAGAGCUUUACUUUUUUUUAAGAUGAUUUAAAAUCCUAAUUCUGCAGUCCUCUAGCUGUUUUUGUGCUGGUUGUCGUGUGUGUGUGUGUGGGAGCUAAUGGUCCUGGGACUCCGGUUGUCAUGGUGUCAAGCUCCACCUUGGAAAGAGACGAUCCACAAACAAAGUGAUGCUCAGCGCAGCUGAAAGACACAAAUCACUGGAGGAGAAAACUUCCUAGAAACAGAGAUCAGUAUGUUGAAGUGGAUGCUGUUGGUGGUGUGUGUGAGUGUGUGUUUGGGUCAGAAUCCGAUCAACACUGACCCAGCAGAAGAAACUGAAUCGACCUCUGAUCAGCACGACCAGGUUACACUCAAACAGACCUAUGUUCAUAUGAUGAAGAACAACAAUAAGCAGGGUGUGUUCAUCGCUGCCGCUAUAGGAACUCUGACGCUGAUGGCUGUGGUUUACUGCAUCUACAACCAGUUCUACACCAAAAACAUUUACUCACACGCUCAGCUGCAUGAAUCAGAUAUCGCUCUGGAUCUGAGCAGCUCGUCCUCGUCGGUGUUUUCUGGUUAUGUGAUGGAGGGAUGGAUGCACCAGAGGAUGGAGAAAGGAGGAGGGAGUUAUGGCUCUCUGUCUGACACUCCUUCAAUUAUCACGCUCCCUCGUCCUCUUUCACCUCCUCAGCGUGCGUCUCCCUUUCACUCGCUCUCUCUGUCCAGACCGCCGCCUCUGAGGACUAUUUCAGCGCAGGAUCUGGAGAAGAGCUUCCUCUGAGACUGUGUCUGUGUCUGUGUGUGUGUGGUUGCAGGGGAUUGUGGGUCAGUUUACAGCUGUAUGCUGAAGUGAUGUGGCUCCUGACACCUUAUACGGCUUGCAAACACUCAAACCUGACCUUUAACCUCUCCAGAUCUGAACGCAGGGUUGCUGUUAAUAUGCUUGAUGUCACAAUCUUUAAAUAAUUAAUCAUCAGAAUGUUCUGUUCUGUUCUCUCUAGCGUGUUCUAUUCAUUUCUUUUAGCUCUGUUGUUUUCUAUUCAUUUUCUUUUCUUUUAAUAUGCAGAAUGU